GUGCGUUAGGGAUAGUAGUGGAAAUCCUUUUUUGUUUUUUUUUUAAAAACAAAAAAGAUUGAAACGAAUAGCCCGACCCUUG
rnacentral:sRNA from 1 species